UUCCUUGAACCGCAUGGUUCAAGGAUGAAAGACGGUUUCGGCUGUCACUUACAGAUGGACCCGCGGCGCAUUAGCUAGUUGGUGGGGUAAUGGCUCACCAAGGCGACGAUGCGUAGCCGACCUGAGAGGGUGAUCGGCCACACUGGGACUGAGACACGGCCCAGACUCCUACGGGAGGCAGCAGUAGGGAAUCUUCCGCAAUGGACGAAAGUCUGACGGAGCAACGCCGCGUGAGUGAUGAAGGUUUUCGGAUCGUAAAGCUCUGUUGUUAGGGAAGAACAAGUGCGAGAGUAACUGCUCGCACCUUGACGGUACCUAACCAGAAAGCCACGGCUAACUACGUGCCAGCAGCCGCGGUAAUACGUAUGUGGCAAGCGUUGUCCGGAAUUAUUGGGCGUAAAGGGCUCGCAGGCGGUUUCUUAAGUCUGAUGUGAAAGCCCCCGGCUCAACCCGGGGAGGGUCAUUGGAAACUGGGAAACUUGAGUGCAGAGGAGGAGAGUGGUAUUCCACGUGUAGCGGUGAAAUGCGUAGAGAUGGUGGAGGAACACCAGUGGGCGAAGGCGACUUCCUCUGGUCUUGUAACUGACCGCU
rnacentral:rRNA from 1 species